UUGAACGCUGGCGGCAGGCCUAACACAUGCAAGUCGAGCGGUAACAGGGGUAGCUUGCUACCCGCUGACAAGCGGCGGACGGGUGAGUAAUGCAUAGGAAUCUGCCCGGUAGUGGGGGAUAACCUGGGGAAACCCAGGCUAAUACCGCAUACGUCCUACGGGAGAAAGGGGGCUCCGGCUCCCGCUAUUGGAUGAGCCUAUGUCGGAUUAGCUAGUUGGUGAGGUAAUGGCUCACCAAGGCGACGAUCCGUAGCUGGUCUGAGAGGAUGAUCAGCCACAUCGGGACUGAGACACGGCCCGAACUCCUACGGGAGGCAGCAGUGGGGAAUAUUGGACAAUGGGCGAAAGCCUGAUCCAGCCAUGCCGCGUGUGUGAAGAAGGCCCUCGGGUUGUAAAGCACUUUCAGCGAGGAAGAACGCCUAGUGGUUAAUACCCACUAGGAAAGACAUCACUCGCAGAAGAAGCACCGGCUAACUCCGUGCCAGCAGCCGCGGUAAUACGGAGGGUGCAAGCGUUAAUCGGAAUUACUGGGCGUAAAGCGCGCGUAGGUGGCUUGAUAAGCCGGUUGUGAAAGCCCCGGGCUCAACCUGGGAACGGCAUCCGGAACUGUCAAGCUAGAGUGCAGGAGAGGAAGGUAGAAUUCCCGGUGUAGCGGUGAAAUGCGUAGAGAUCGGGAGGAAUACCAGUGGCGAAGGCGGCCUUCUGGACUGACACUGACACUGAGGUGCGAAAGCGUGGGUAGCAAACAGGAUUAGAUACCCUGGUAGUCCACGCCGUAAACGAUGUCGACCAGCCGUUGGGUGCCUAGCGCACUUUGUGGCGAAGUUAACGCGAUAAGUCGACCGCCUGGGGAGUACGGCCGCAAGGUUA
rnacentral:rRNA from 1 species